rnacentral:miRNA from 1 species
AAUAUCCUUUUAACAAAUUAUGCGUAUUUAAGGAGAUAGGGAUGCGCAUGCGCAGCACGUAUCUCCUUACCUUUGCACUUUUUGGUAAGAAGAUGUUAAUAAAAGUUGUUCGUGUUGAUGAGGGCUACAACUUUGCUUAAUAUCCUUUUAACAAAUUAUGCGUAUUUAAGGAGAUAGCGCAGCGCAUGCGCAGAACGUAUCUCCUUACCUUUGCACUUUUUGGUAAGAAGAUAUU